AGAGACUUAGGAUAACCAGACCGGAGGCCUUCAAAGCCUCAAGUGAGGGUGAAACCCCCCCAGUCCCUG
rnacentral:tRNA from 1 species